rnacentral:rRNA from 1 species
CAGCCGCCGCGGUAACACCAGCAGCCCAAGUGGUGGUCGCGAUUAUUGGGCCUAAAGCGCUCGUAGCCGGGCCGGUAAGUCCCUUGUGAAAUCGGACGGCCUAACCGUUCGGCGUGCAGGGGAUACUGUCGGUCUUGAGGCCGGGAGACGUCCGAGGUACUCCGGGGGUAGCGGUGAAAUGUUCUGAUCCUCGGGGGACCACCGGUGGCGAAGGCGUUCGACGAGAACGGGCCUGACGGUGAGGGGCGAAGGCUAGGGGAGCAAACGGGAUUAGAUACCCCGGUAGUCCCUGUCUCUUAUA